GACGGUUCGCGAGGCCCCGCCCCCGCCCGCCUGACUGACAGCGGGCCGGAGGUCACGUCUUUGAGGCGACCUUGCUUGGCCAGUGGGCUGCAACCUGUUCCCGCCCAGGACGACGCUGCCUUGGACCCGAAGGCCGCCAGGCCACUCGCGCAACCGUGACCCUUCGUCACAAACACGGACAAAAGUGACCUCACAGUGCGUCAUAAUGAUGAUGGUUCCAUUUUGAUCUUUGACCAUCGUCCCGCAGGGAGUCGUCUGCCCACCGCGACCUCCCAACCCCACUCUUUGUAUGGAAAGAGUCUCGCAGUCCUGGGGCACUUAGCUUCGUGGGAGGUGUGAGCCCCACAGUCCUGGACCAGGCCCGAAGCCUCGGGUGCUCGCAUGUGAGAAACAUUGCGGCAAAAAACCACCCGAAAACCGAAAACCGGUCAGUGUGAUUCCCUUGAUACUCACCUGUUCAGAGGUCAAAGAAGAAAACUGAAAGAACACUGCUUAGUGAGAAAUAAUCCACGGUAAAGGUAUCAAGGAUAAACAGCGUCAGGACGGUGGUCAUCUGUGGGGCAGGAUGGAGGUGAGCCAGACCGGGGGACGUGAGGAGACUCUCACUACUGCCCAGGUUAGGAAUCUUGAUGACUCCGAGGACGAUUAUAUUAGCAAAUCCUACCGCAAAACAUUCGUUUAAGAACAGGCUGACCUUGGCUGUUAAAAGGAGAAGCUCUGGUGAUAAUCACUUCUUCCUAAUAGGGUAUAGUCCUCACCCCCAGGUGUGUCAGAGAAAACCAGCAAAGACAUCAACCCAGGACCACUCUGAGAAGAGCUCCAGUCCUACCCUCAUCACACUCCUACUCCCACAUGCCUAGGAAUUCUAAGUGCCAACUCUGGAGGCUGAACACAGAACUGAGGCUUGGGAGGGUCACCAGUGUGACACGGGGCAGCAAAGGUCACACCAGUAGCCCCCUACUACAUGCUGCCAUCAGGCAUCAGAGCAGAAUUUUCUAGCUUUCCUCACACCUUAUCGUCAAUCAACUUACAGUUUAGGAACCCAAGUACUGGGGGGAACCAGAGCCAAAGGGCUGCCCUCAUCAAUCAAUAAAGAAUUCAAAGGAAAGAAACCCUGGACGCAGCACAGAUGAGCAGCCUGCUUCCGGAACCCAGGACAGAAGAAAAGCCACAUUCAGAAGGUUCCACAUUCUAGACUCUCCUGGUGGAGACUGAAGUCCUGGAGUGGCUCAGUCCCUGGUGAAGGAGGGUAGGGACCUGAGCAGUCACAGGAAUGACCUCUGGGAUCCCCACACACCCUCCCCUCCCUGGAGCAUGAUGGAUCUGCUCCCUCCCUCCCUCAGGCUCCCGGUCUAAUGCGUGAGGAAAUUCUCAGCAGGAUUCAAUUCAAGAAUUCUCCUCUUUCUUGCCGCUUUGGAAAUACACUGUUUUUCAAGACCUAUGGAUUAAAUACAUUUUACAUUUAUUGCAAAACUGACUUUAAAAGAGGGAAUACAUGUUUUCAACGUGACAAACCCACGAAGGCACAAGUGAUCUCAGGACAGAUCACUCAGGAAAGCUCCAAAGGAUGUUCAAAGUUCCACAGGAUGUCUGUGCCCAGGAAAGAUCCUGGGGAGAGGGGCACAAUGAUUUCACACAACCUUGUUCCAGGUGGUUAUUCUCUGCUUCUUCUCAUGUAAAAUAUCCACGAAUAAAAAAUAAGCCUUUUAAAACGAGCCAUCCAUUGACUGUGGAUAAAUGAUACACAAUUACAACGCUGUGUCUGUUUGAAAUGCACCAUGGAGGACAAAUCAUCGCUGAUGCUGUAAAUCCGAGAGGGGAAUCUGCGUCUGGGGAGGCGGGGCGGGAUCUGGAAACAAGCAUUUAUUGCCAGUCCCAGGAAAGGACGGGCUGGGACACAGGAUCGUGGAUUUGAGACUCUGCUUCCCAAACAUCUAGAACACUCAGGAGAAAAGGGGCGCCCCCAGGAGAAUGGAGAGACUGGGGACCCCACAGACCACAGCACCUCCUGCGCACGAACCCGGGAGACCGAGUCACGACUGUCCCCUGACGACCCUCCCCGUGGUCACCGCACCAUCGGGGAGACGCGGCCGCGCGCAGGGACCAGACAGGACGCCGGGGUCCCAGCUGCCGGCCCAGCCCGCACGCGGCGCGCCGGAGGGGACUGAGGUCAGAGCGGCGUCCCCGGGGACUCGGAAGCUCCCGAGGAGGGUCGGGUCCCGCCACCGCGCGUCGCCAGCCCCUCCGCCCGUCCUGGCACCCCCGGCCCCGCACACUCACCGCUUCCCGGCUUCUCAGUCCGCGGGCGUUGUCCCUAUGGUGCCGGCAGCAGGUGCAUCAAUCUGCGCGACUGAUGCUCCAGCAGAACCACCAGAGACCGUUACGCGCAGCUCUUUCCAGUUUCCCUCAAUUCAGGCAAACGGAAAGGGAACCACCCCUCAAGCGAUAUCGACUGCCCUGUCAAGACCUCCAGCCAGCCUAGCCCACCCAGACCAGUUUGAGGGUAAUCCUCCAAUGGUGCCUACACACGAUGGACCACAGAGCACCCUCUAGAAUGACGGACAACCACCUUUACCUCAUUGUAAUACUAAAAUCUCCACCCAAGGAGGACCAAGAAACUGGUUUACAUGACGUACAGCAUCUGUAUAGGCAUGUUUUCUGAAGGUGCACACACAGCACCUCUACAUACAAUGACAAGGUUUUCCUAUGUAAAUAUUCAUCCUAACCCUAAAUUAAAGGAACCCACUCACUGUUGCUCAGGGAAUUGUGGCUUUGGAAGUUAAUCCCCAGGAUCUCCUCAGUUGCUGCAAAUAAAGGUUUCUUGAUGCAGCAACUCAGUGUAAUUUCUAUCUGUGACUCACCAAGCGGGGAACUCAGGUCGGUUGGGUUGCAUAAUGAAGAGUCUGGAUCCAUU